GACUGAGUCGAAUUGCCUGUCCCCUUGAUCAGAAAACAAUGAGCAAUUUGAAACUAAAAUAUAAAUGUAUUUUAUAUAUGAUAAAUGGGAAUUCCUCGCUGGCUGCUGGCACGGCCAGGCCGAGCCUCGCCACGGCCACGGCCUGGCGGAGAGAGGCCUUCUCAUCCCGGGCUCAGUGCUGGCUUCUCACCUCCCUUCAGAACAGAGCAUCCUGACAGAGGGAUUGUUGUGUUGUUUUGGUUUUAUUUUUUUUUUUUUUUUAAAUUAAACAGUUCUCAUGACUGUUCCUUUGAGAACUGGGAGAAGCCCAGAGUACGCUGCCGGUGCUAUUUCUCCUGACAUAUGAUGCUGUACAACGUUAAACAUUCUGAGAAAUCAA
rnacentral:lncRNA from 12 species